CUCAGAGGAGGAGACCUACCCGACGGGGGGCCAAACCCCAACAAGUAAUUGCCUCUGGCUGGUUGACGUCAGUUAACGACUGGACUUUGUACCCAGAAGAGAGUUAAAGCUAAGGACGGUUGGAGAUAAAGUCAUUUCCUCCUUGGGUUGCCCAGCAAGGACGUCGAAAAUGAAAGGCCUUAUCCUCCUCGCUCUUCUCCUUUCCAUAAGCUCAGCCAUCCAGUCAGUCACUCCAAACUCAACUGCCGCCACAUCAACUCCUACCACAACUCCUACCACCACACCAACUCCUACCACCACACCAACUCCUACCACCACAUCAACUCCUACCACCAAACCAACUCCUACCACCACACCAACUCCUACCAUCACAUCAACUCCUACCACCAAACCAACUCCUACCACCACACCAACUCCUACCAUCACAUCAACUCCUACCACCAAACCAACUCCUACCACCACACCAACUCCUACCAUCACAUCAACUCCUACCACCAAACCAACUCCUACCACCACACCAACUCCUACCAUCACAUCAACUCCUACCACCAAACCAACUCCUACCACCACACCAACUCCUACCAUCACAUCAACUCCUACCACCAAACCAACUCCUACCACCACAUUAACUCCGACCACCACAUCAACUCCUACCACCAAACCAACUUCACCUAUUUCUACCUCAUUGUGA
rnacentral:lncRNA from 1 species